CGAAAAUGUCUUCUGAAACAUCAAAAUCAACCCGGAUUCGGUUAAAUACGCAUUGGGGUCACCCACUUUCACACCCAAUACCUCGGCACUUUUGUAUGGCUAGGAAUUAUAGACGCUGCCCUAACGAAUAGCUAUUGGAUAUAACUUUAGCGGGUGGGUAUAGACUUUCUGAGGUAAGCAUUAUUAAGGCCGAAAAUGUCCGAUACAUUUAAAUCAACACAAAUUUGAUAAAACAUGCAUUGGUGACACUCACUUACCGACCAAUUGUCUUGGUAGUUCUUGAUGGCUAGGGAUUAUAGACGUUGUCUACAAGAACAGCUAUUGUAUAUAACUGCAUCGUGGUUGAAAGAAUUUCUGGGGUAAGCAGUCUACAAG
rnacentral:lncRNA from 1 species